AUUUUCCGUAGACCAGGGCGGGGUGACGGGUGAUCCCAGUCCUCGCAGUGAACUCUGGGGCGCAGAAUUCAAAACGCUUGCGGUCGCCGAGCGCAGCCCCGCCCUGGGUUAUGUAAGCGACAGCGCUGGGCCGUUUCUCUUUUUUUUCCGGACCCCGCAGUGGCGCCUAAAGUCUGCAAGGAGGAGGUCGCCUCUGUGCUGUGAGUCCAGGAAUCUAAGCUCGGCAGCUCUUCUGCUCCAUACAACAUGGACUGGGCCACCAUCAUCUGGAGCCCAGCUGGUCCAACACAUUCAAGAGGCUCCUGCACAGGGCUGCAGUUGAUGCUGGCUUGUUGGCUGGGAACUCACUGAGGCUGUGAACCAGGGCUUGUGGUCCCUGACAAGGAGGACCCUGAGGGCAACCACACCUUGCCAUGCAGAGCACCUGGCUUCUCAUCUGCCAACCUCACUCUGACCCGGCUGCAGGAAGGGAAGGAGCCAACCCCGGACUCAAGACUCAAGGGGACCAGAACCAGGGAGAUGAGACAUACCAGGGCUGGGCAGCUGUGGGGGUCCUUCCAGAGAGGAGCUGAGAUGCGCCUACCUGGAGGGGCCCCUGGGCCUGGAGGGGCUCCUCAGUGUGACUGGGUGAAGUGUUUUCAGAGGACCAGGGUUGAGGUUGGGGGCAUCUCAUCCAGACCCUGCCGGCAUCUGCCCCAGAACCCAAGGGCCCCUCCUUCCUCCUUCCUCAAUGGAAAUGCUGGGGAUGUCCUCAGUCACCCUCUGAGCACUCACACAUCACCCCUUAUUUGGAAAUUUUUCUCACUCUAACCUUCCUUCCUGCUGCACCUUCUGCCCCAUCCCCAGGCUCUGGCCUCUCUCUCUCUCCUCUUCUACCCUUUAGCAGGUAAUGACUCACUUCCCACUGAGGAGCCAGCUCUAGGGAGCUGCCCUUCCCCCAAGCCCAGGAAAGUGAAAAGAGAAGCAGGAACAGUGAAAUACUCCACAGGAAAGAAAAAUCUUAGUGAUCCCUCCUGUUGUCUCUUUCCUUUUGCCUAUUCUGGCAAAUUUUGUAAGUGAAAUUGGUUACCAAGAUGUGAAAAUCUUAUUAUAAGAAAGUCUCUAAAUAUUUGAGAAUAAAAUUAUCAAUGUCUCAGCUCUGCAGGCUGAAAAAACGGAGGCUUUACAAAAUAAAAUCAUGCUCGGAAAACUUCUCCUCUGAGGGAUGUCAAAGGCUGCACUGAAUAAGCUCUAAGGUGGUGCUGAAAUGAGUCAUUUAUUUGCCUGUGUAAGCUCAGGCAGGUGUUGGAAUUGAGGAAGUAUAGGUAAUGAAAAAAGUAACCAUGUCCUCGGGACAUAGCGACUGGUGAUGACCACAAAAUCAACACAAUAAACUCUAGCAUUCACAUUGUAGUCUAGCUCAUUCAAGCAAAGCUAUCUCCAAUAGGGAGUUUACCCUGUACAGAACACGUGCAUUUCCACCUGUUCUCAGACUGACCCUUUGCUCAUCACAAUAGUGAAAAAAAACACAGCCCUGGGUGGAGAUUUAAGAUGCUAAUGAGUCAUGAGAUGUAUGAACAAGCAUGUACAGCUACUGCACACGUGCACCCAGAAGACCGCCCAGAACAUGCUUGCUAGUAACACCUCUUCCCACCCACCUCCUGUGAAUAAUCAUGUAAGACUCCCAUAAAGGGAGUUUCUCCAGCAAUAAUCAAUGCUGUCUCAUCCUUAGGAGCAGCCCACCCUGAAUCCUCUCUCAGGGUGUACAGUUUAUUUUGCACUUAACUUUCAAAAUAAUAUUUUUCCUUUGUAAUAAAUUGCUUUGUACUUCA